UACGAAGGGGGCUAGCGUUGCUCGGAAUCACUGGGCGUAAAGCGCACGUAGGCGGAUUGCUAAGUCAGGGGUGAAAUCCUGGAGCUCAACUCCAGAACUGCCUUUGAUACUGGCGAUCUCGAGUCCGGGAGAGGUGGAGUGGAACUGCGAGUGUAGAGGUGAAAAUUCGUAGAUAUUCGCAAGAACACCAGUGGCGAAGGCGGCUCACUGGCCCGGUACCUGACGCUGAGGUGCGAAAGCGAGGGGAGCAAACGGG
rnacentral:rRNA from 1 species